rnacentral:ribozyme from 12 species
UUUUGAAUGGUAAAGAAGCGUCUAAAUUAAUUAGUUUCUAUUACUUUACUUGAAAUUGUCAAAAUGAUUUAAAUCGCAGGAGAAAAAACGCUCCCAUAAAAAGUUUUAUUUGCAUAUCACACCCGUGCACAAUUGAGAAACCGAUGAUUGAAC